GGGUUGUGAGGUUAAGCGACUAAGCGUACACGGUGGAUGCCCUGGCAGUCAGAGGCGAUGAAGGACGUGCUAAUCUGCGAUAAGCGUCGGUAAGGUGAUAUGAACCGUUAUAACCGGCGAUUUCCGAAUGGGGAAACCCAGUGUGAUUCGUCACACUAUCAUUAACUGAAUCCAUAGGUUAAUGAGGCGAACCGGGGGAACUGAAACAUCUAAGUACCCCGAGGAAAAGAAAUCAACCGAGAUUCCCCCAGUAGCGGCGAGCGAACGGGGAGGAGCCCAGAGCCUGAAUCAGUGUGUGUGUUAGUGGAAGCGUCUGGAAAGGCGCGCGAUACAGGGUGACAGCCCCGUACACAAAAAUGCACAUACUGUGAGCUCGAUGAGUAGGGCGGGACACGUGGUAUCCUGUCUGAAUAUGGGGGGACCAUCCUCCAAGGCUAAAUACUCCUGACUGACCGAUAGUGAACCAGUACCGUGAGGGAAAGGCGAAAAGAACCCCGGCGAGGGGAGUGAAAAAGAACCUGAAACCGUGUACGUACAAGCAGUGGGAGCCUCUUUAUGGGGUGACUGCGUACCUUUUGUAUAAUGGGUCAGCGACUUAUAUUCUGUAGCAAGGUUAACCGAAUAGGGGAGCCGAAGGGAAACCGAGUCUUAACUGGGCGUUAAGUUGCAGGGUAUAGACCCGAAACCCGGUGAUCUAGCCAUGGGCAGGUUGAAGGUUGGGUAACACUAACUGGAGGACCGAACCGACUAAUGUUGAAAAAUUAGCGGAUGACUUGUGGCUGGGGGUGAAAGGCCAAUCAAACCGGGAGAUAGCUGGUUCUCCCCGAAAGCUAUUUAGGUAGCGCCUCGUGAAUUCAUCUCCGGGGGUAGAGCACUGUUUCGGCAAGGGGGUCAUCCCGACUUACCAACCCGAUGCAAACUGCGAAUACCGGAGAAUGUUAUCACGGGAGACACACGGCGGGUGCUAACGUCCGUCGUGAAGAGGGAAACAACCCAGACCGCCAGCUAAGGUCCCAAAGUCAUGGUUAAGUGGGAAACGAUGUGGGAAGGCCCAGACAGCCAGGAUGUUGGCUUAGAAGCAGCCAUCAUUUAAAGAAAGCGUAAUAGCUCACUGGUCGAGUCGGCCUGCGCGGAAGAUGUAACGGGGCUAAACCAUGCACCGAAGCUGCGGCAGCGACACUAUGUGUUGUUGGGUAGGGGAGCG
rnacentral:rRNA from 1 species